GCUGGGUGUGGUGGUGCACGCCUGUAAUCCCAGCAGCUCAGGAGGCUGAGGCAGGAGGAUUGCUAGUUCAAAGCCAGCCUUAGCAAUUUAGCAAGGCCUUAA
rnacentral:sRNA from 1 species